AUGCAGAUGGCCACCCUGAGGUACCACCGGCACCAUAUCAUAUGCUCCAUUAAUCCUCAAAAGCAAAGUCAACUUGGCCGAGGAAGGAAGGAAACAAAUGGGAGGAAACAGAUAGAUAGAUGGAUCCUGGUCAACUCCUUAAACAACAACCUUCCAAACGAGCGCCAAUGUCAACUCUACCCGUCUCCCCUUCUCGGAUAUGUCGCCCAUUUGUCUCGGCCCCGAUGCGCAUCCAGAUCCGGCGACACGCCGAUACGCCGCCGUUUCCUCCACCUCCACCGCCUCGGCUUCGUCACUUUCAUGGGCAACCGCGCGGCGAGGCUGGCCACGCCCUGCUUCGCGUCGGGGGGCCGGUCAACGGUGGACGCGUCCGCCGCGGCGAGGGCGGCCGCGGCCGGCGGGGACUAUGGUGGUGACUGCGGCGUCGGCCAGAUUCUGAGCUUUGAUGGCUAUGACGCGUUCGACGGCGCCACCAUCCACGGCGUGCUGCUCCCGUCCAACCAGUCCACCAUCGGGACCGCCGCCUCCUCCUCCGCCAACUCCUUCUCCAACCAGUUGUCGCUCUCGGCGUCGUCCUCCUGCGACAGCUCCAGCUCCUUCUCCUUCCGCACGCUCCAGCCGGGCCUCUUCUCGGGGAGCCUGGACUACUGCGCGUCGCCGUCGUCGUCGUCGUCCGGGCCGAACUCGGGCGCGCUCUCGUCGGCGGCGUCGCGGCGGGGCGCGCGCACUGAAGAGGACAUCAUGGCGGACCUCUACGCCACAAGGCGCCGGCGCCGGUGCCAGCUCGAGGAGGCCGCGUCCGGGAGCCCGCUCCUCGACCGCCUCCGCCGCGCUGUCGCGUCGGCGCUGCGCGUCGGCCGCGCGGCCAAGAAGCAGCCUGCCGUGACGACGCUGGCCACCAACGGCGGCACCGCCACCAUCGGCGGCGGCGGCGCGAUCAGGGGCAACGGCGAGAACGGGCACGCGGCGGAGGACAAGGUGCAGUGGGCGCGCGGCAAGGCAGGGGAGGACAGGGUGCACGUCGUCGUGUCGGAGGAGCGCGGCUGGAUGUUCGUCGGCAUCUACGACGGCUUCAACGGCCCGGACGCCACCGACUACCUCGUCGCCAACCUCUACGCCUCCGUCUGCCGCGAGCUCCCCACCGACCACGAUCCUCCUCCGCCCGACGACGCCGGACGCGAGCAGCGGCCGCCGCCAUCGUCGUGCAACGGCAGAAACAGCGCCGACGACCUGAUCCGGCGCCGGGGGCGGCACGGCGCGGUACUGGACGCGCUGGCGCGCGCGCUGCGGCGCACGGAGGAGGGCUACUUCGCGGAGGCGGAGGCGCGCGCGGCCGAGUGCCCGGAGCUGGCCAUGAUGGGGUCCUGCGUGCUGGUGCUGCUCAUGAAGGGCGCCGACGUCUACUCCAUGAACGUCGGCGACAGCCGCGCCGUGCUCGCGCACCGGGCCGAGCCCGACCUCACCAGCGUCAUCAUGCCGCCACGCCACCGGCACCAGCACAGCGCCGACGGCCACGUCACGGAGGAGAUCAGGCGGCAGUUCGACGAGUGCGACAUGACCGAGCUCGUCGCGCUCCAGCUCACCAUGGAGCACAGCACCACCGCCUACAAGGAGGUGAAAAGGAUAAGGAGUGAGCACCUUGAUGAUCCUGCCUGCAUAGUCAAUGGCAGAGUGAAGGGCUCCUUGAAGGUCACAAGAGCAUUUGGAGCUGGCUACCUGAAAGAGCCCAGGUGGAACAAGGCUCUCUUGGAAGUUUUCCGGGUGGACUAUGUUGGCGUCUUGCCUUACAUUACUUGCAAGCCAUUCCUCCGACACCACUGCCUCGGGCCACGGGACAAGUUCCUUAUCCUCGCCUCGGAUGGGCUCUACGAGUACUUCACCAACGAGGAGGUGGUGGGGCACGUGGAGGCGUUCACCUCCAGGUUCCCCGACGAGGAUCCUGCAAAGUACCUCAGCCACGAGAUCCUCCUCCGCGCCGCCAGGCAAGCCGGAAUGGGGUUCCAUGAGUUGCUUGAGGUACGGCAAGGGGAUCGGCGACAAUACCAUGACGACGUCUCCAUCAUCAUCAUCUCAUUGGAGGGGAAGAUAUGGAGAUCUUCAGCCUGA
rnacentral:rRNA from 1 species